rnacentral:tRNA from 1 species
UCUCUGGUGGCUCAGCUGGUAGAGAAUCUGCCUGCAAUGCAGGAGACCUGGGUUGGGAAGAUCCCCUAGAGAA